GACGAACGCUUGCGGCGUGCUUAACACAUGCAAGUCGAACGGAAAGGCCCUGCUUUUGUGGGGUGCUCGAGUGGCGAACGGGUGAGUAACACGUGAGUAACCUGCCCUUGACUUUGGGAUAACUUCAGGAAACUGGGGCUAAUACCGGAUAGGAGCUCCUGCUGCAUGGUGGGGGUUGGAAAGUUUCGGCGGUUGGGGAUGGACUCGCGGCUUAUCAGCUUGUUGGUGGGGUAGUGGCUUACCAAGGCUUUGACGGGUAGCCGGCCUGAGAGGGUGACCGGCCACAUUGGGACUGAGAUACGGCCCAGACUCCUACGGGAGGCAGCAGUGGGGAAUAUUGCACAAUGGGCGGAAGCCUGAUGCAGCAACGCCGCGUGCGGGAUGACGGCCUUCGGGUUGUAAACCGCUUUCGCCUGUGACGAAGCGUGAGUGACGGUAAUGGGUAAAGAAGCACCGGCUAACUACGUGCCAGCAGCCGCGGUGAUACGUAGGGUGCGAGCGUUGUCCGGAUUUAUUGGGCGUAAAGGGCUCGUAGGUGGUUGAUCGCGUCGGAAGUGUAAUCUUGGGGCUUAACCCUGAGCGUGCUUUCGAUACGGGUUGACUUGAGGAAGGUAGGGGAGAAUGGAAUUCCUGGUGGAGCGGUGGAAUGCGCAGAUAUCAGGAGGAACACCAGUGGCGAAGGCGGUUCUCUGGGCCUUUCCUGACGCUGAGGAGCGAAAGCGUGGGGAGCGAACAGGCUUAGAUACCCUGGUAGUCCACGCUGUAAACGGUGGGUACUAGGUGUGGGGUCCAUUCCACGGGUUCCGUGCCGUAGCUAACGCUUUAAGUACCCCGCCUGGGGAGUACGGCCGCAAGGCUAAAACUCAAAGGAAUUGACGGGGCCCCGCACAAGCGGCGGAGCAUGCGGAUUAAUUCGAUGCAACGCGUAGAACCUUACCUGGGUUUGACAUGGAUCGGGAGUGCUCAGAGAUGGGUGUGCCUCUUUUGGGGUCGGUUCACAGGUGGUGCAUGGCUGUCGUCAGCUCGUGUCGUGAGAUGUUGGGUUAAGUCCCGCAACGAGCGCAACCCUUGUUCACUGUUGCCAGCACGUUAUGGUGGGGACUCAGUGGAGACCGCCGGGGUCAACUCGGAGGAAGGUGGGGAUGACGUCAAGUCAUCAUGCCCCUUAUGUCCAGGGCUUCACGCAUGCUACAAUGGCUGGUACAGAGAGUGGCGAGCCUGUGAGGGUGAGCGAAUCUCGGAAAGCCGGUCUCAGUUCGGAUUGGGGUCUGCAACUCGACCUCAUGAAGUCGGAGUCGCUAGUAAUCGCAGAUCAGCAACGCUGCGGUGAAUACGUCCCCGGG
rnacentral:rRNA from 1 species